UUAAUUGAAACCAAAAAGAGGUAUAUCACUGUUAAUGAUACUAGUGAAUUAAUUAAAUUCCAAUUAAA
rnacentral:tRNA from 1 species